rnacentral:rRNA from 1 species
AAUCAACGUUGGCGGCGCGCUUAACACAUGCAAGUCGAACGAGAAAGUGGAGCAAUCCAUGAGUACAGUGGCGUACGGGUGAGUAACACGUGGGUAAUCUACCUUUUGGUGGGGAAUAACCCUGGGAAACCGGGGCUAAUACCGCAUAAGUCCGCAAGGAGAAAGUCGCAAGACGCCGAUAGAGGAGCCCGCGGCCGAUUAGCUAGUUGGCAGGGUAAAGGCCUACCAAGGCUGUGAUCGGUAGCCGGCCUGAGAGGGCACACGGCCACACUGGCACUGAAACACGGGCCAGACUCCUACGGGAGGCAGCAGUGGGGAAUCUUGCACAAUGGGGGAAACCCUGAUGCAGCGACGCCGCGUGAGUGAUGAAGCCCUUCGGGGUGUAAAGCUCUUUCGACAGGAACGAUAAUGACGGUACCUGGAGAAGAAGCUGCGGCUAACUACGUGCCAGCAGCCGCGGUAAUACGUAGGCAGCAAACGUUGUUCGGAAUUACUGGGCGUAAAGAGUGU